GUGGACUAACACCACUGCAUGUUGCUGCACACUACGAUAACCAGAAAGUGGCCCUCCUUCUGUUGGACCAAGGAUCGUCUCCGCACGCUGCAGCGAAGAAUGGCUAUACUCCACUGCACAUAGCUGCCAAGAAGAACCAGAUGGAGAUAGCAACCACACUGCUCGAAUAUGGAGCUGAUACCAAUGCCACGACACGCCAGGGCAUCAGUCCUCUCCACCUGGCAGCCCAGGAGGGCAAUGUUGACAUGAUCACGCUUCUGCUCGCCCGUGAAACUGCCAUCAAUCUGGGAAACAAGAAACGCUGCAGGUGCUUGAUGUGACCUUGUGUGAAUCCGUGUUCUACACCGGUUUCAAACAAAAAGCUGCAUGUUAGGCCAUUCAUUUACACUUAAAUGUAGGCCUAAUGCUUGGCGGUUCGUGACAUAUCCUCGGAUAAACUCUAACGCCGGGGCAUUGCCAUGUGACUUACCUAUGAUGAAUUUACAGCUGAGCAUGGGCAUUUCACUCGUUGGAUGCAUCAGCGUCACGUUUGCAUAGGCCGUACUAUGCUGUCUGAC